rnacentral:misc_RNA from 1 species
AAGUCGUAACAAGGUUUCCGUAGGUGAACCUGCGGAAGGAUCAUUAACGAAUAAAACGAGGUUAAGAAUGAAGGCAACUGAUUUCUUAAUUCUCAUUUCUAUUUCAAACACCUGUGAACGAUGUGCUAAACAUUUUGCUUUGGCCUAAGGAAUCUCUGAUUCUUUUGGCCAAAGGUUUACUACAAACUCUUAUUAUUUUAAACUAAUAUCUGAAACUGAAAAGAUUUAAAUAAAUCAAAACUUUCAACAACGGAUCUCUUGGUUCUC